rnacentral:rRNA from 1 species
UAGGGAAUCUUCCACAAUGGACGCAAGUCUGAUGGAGCAACGCCGCGUGAGUGAAUAAGGUUUUCGGAUCGUAAAGCUCUGUUGUUGGUGAAGAAGGAUAGAGGUAGUAACUGGCCUUUAUUUGACGGUAAUCAACCAGAAAGUCACGGCUAACUACGUGCCAGCAGCCGCGGUAAUACGUAGGUGGCAAGCGUUGUCCGGAUUUAUUGGGCGUAAAGCGAGCGCAGGCGGAAGAAUAAGUCUGAUGUGAAAGCCCUCGGCUUAACCGAGGAACUGCAUCGGAAACUGUUUUUCUUGAGUGCAGAAGAGGAGAGUGGAACUCCAUGUGUAGCGGUGGAAUGCGUAGAUAUAUGGAAGAACACCAGUGGCGAAGGCGACUCUCUGGUCUGCAACUGACGCUGAGGCUCGAAAGCAUGGGUAGCGAACAGG